CUGCUAAGUACAUUAAUAUCCAAUUCACCUGAUCGCUGAACCUGAAGUGUUCCUCCCAAAUGUCUGCAACUUUUGAAAGCGUGCCCAAUUACUGCAAAUAUUAAAAUACUUUACAUUGUUAAAUUGUAAUGAUCUAGACGGGACUGGUUACUGUGUGUUAGUGCAAAGGCCUCUCCUUUUCUCAUUCAAGAUGACAGCAUGUGAUUGAAUGUUUGACAUUCUUUUGAAACAGGGAACCCUUUCAUUAGUCUCAAUGAGUAACUGUUGGGAGGCUCCUAUAACUCUAAUUCAUCCAUUGGUUCUUUAAAUAAACAAUUGCUACACAAUGUAUUUCUGAAACUCGCUAAAUCUGACUUGUAAAGGAAAGAUUACAAUUUGACUUAAUGGCUGAAAAAAAGACAACACAUUUCACAUUAACACAUUCCACUUCCUACUAUGUCCUAAACAUCCGUUUAUAAAGUUCACUAGGCUUCUCUGCUGAUCUUCAUCUCGCUACUAUUUAACAGAGGGGGCAUUUAUUCAAGGACUUCCACUCAUACGCUCAACCCCAAAGCAUAUCUCAAAGGAGAGAUUUAGAGUGUUGUGAAGUGUCUUCAAACAAAUAGGCUGUUCUCAGUUGGUAAUUAACAGCAUCUAAUCCCUACUCUCUUUUCCCUAUCUCUCCAUCUGUUUAUGAAAUGGGAUUGUUAAUUGAUUCCAGUAAGAGGAUGCAGGCAGCUCACCACAGAGGAAACUCGGCUCCAGAGAGGAACUGUACCCCUCCCUCCCACUGCUGAGGAGAACACAAGCCAGCCAGCUAGCAGAAACCUUAAUUCAGGUCAAGCACUGCUCUGCUGUGUUCACACAGCUUCCAGGAAGACACAACUCUGGCCAUAUAAGAGGAGGCAGGCAGCUCACCACAGAGGAAACUCGGCUCCAGAGAGGAACUGUACCCCUCCCUCCCACUGCUGAGGAGAACACAAGCCAGCCAGCUAGCAGAAACCUUAACUCAGGUCAAGCACUGCUCUGCUGUGACACAGACUUGAUAGAGGAUGGAGUAAAUGGAUAAGGCGGAUAUAUUGUAGGUCAUGCUGCUUCCUACUUCCUGUUCUCCCAGGGAAAUCAUGUCUCUGCCUGCUGUGAUGUCUAUAGAGAGGGUCAAAACAACACUGACCUGUUUUUAUUUGGGAUUCCUCUCUUCCAUGUAAAACAACUCAUGUAAAGUCUAUUGUUGGAAGUCAAGUGACCUCGCUCUGUGCUCUGCACAAUCUUGUUUCUUUGAUAUGAUAACGUUAUUUGAUCAGUGUUUUCUUCUAACAUGAAUUGAUUAUUGUUCAAUUUCUUUCAAAUGUAACAUUUACAAUUGCUGUUAUGAACCAUCUUUGUCAUGAUAACACAUAUCCCCACCAACCAAGGUGAUCAUGGUUAUUUUGAAAAUAAAUCCAAAAACCAUUCAAAGAAAAGUACAAAUCCAGCAUCAAAAUUCAGUUGGGCAUAAUAUAUAAUUAGGGUUAGAUUAAAGUAAGGUAGUAACCUGGUGUGAGGUGAUUUUUACAUGUUUAAGUCUGCCCUCUGUUGGUUCAACAAUAUAUUGCUAUAAUGCAAUGUGUACAAUUGACAAGGUGCACCAUUCAAUGAUGAUGACAUAUUCAUAAUGUAGCUGUUUCAAUCUAGAAUAACAAAAUUAACAGUGUCAGUAAACUAGGAAUCAUAUUUAUUUAGAAUUUGACAAAGAUUUACAGAAUCAGUCCUUUGGUGGAAAAAGUGGGACAAUAUAUUAGAUGCAAUUUGAAUAGCAACAGAAAUGUAUAUUAUCUAUACAAAACCCAAUUUCAACAGUGAAUGUAUCACAUAUCCCAUAGAAAUCCAUGGAAAUGUAGACAAUCUAGACAAUGUUGCAGAUGUAAAGCCCUUUGCUGAAUAACAAGUAACUUAAUUUUGACCAUACAGCUCAAACAACUUCACAUCUGGAGAUCUGGAGAAGGUGAAGAUGUGUGGUGUGAAUUGGAGAGCUUCAGAUGUUGUGUGUGUGUAACAGAUGGUGGCAGUCUUACGGUAGACUAACAGAGCAGGCGGAGUGAGCACAGAUCUCACAAGGAUCUGGAGGCGUGAUGGCAUCCGCUGGAGAGAGACAGCAAACACAUAAGGUUUCGGUGCCGUUUGAGAAGUGUAACUUGGUAAAAAAGAAAGAAAAAUAAUGUCACUUAAUUUUAACAUUCUGUCUUAAAGAGCACAUGUUCAACAUCAUCUCAUAAGGUUAAAUAAAAUGACUGUAGUAAGUGCCUAUUAAGUGACAAAUAAAGUAACAGGGUUGACCGUAACAGGGUUGACCGUAACAGGGUUGAUGAUUUCAUCUUAAAUCAGCCAUAAAUUCCCUUGUGACAGGGGGAAUGGAAGCUUGUUUUGUGCAACAUGGGAGGCAAUUGAAUGCAAGCUUCACAAAAACAUUUUAAUUGCUAAAA
rnacentral:lncRNA from 1 species